rnacentral:rRNA from 1 species
AGCGAACGCUGGCGGCAGGCCUAACACAUGCAAGUCGAACGGACCCUUCGGGGUUAGUGGCGGACGGGUGAGUAACACGUGGGAACGUGCCCUUUGGUUCGGAACAACUCAGGGAAACUUGAGCUAAUACCGAAUGUGCCCUUCGGGGGAAAGAUUUAUCGCCAUUGGAGCGGCCCGCGUCUGAUUAGCUAGUUGGUGGGGUAAUGGCCUACCAAGGCGACGAUCAGUAGCUGGUCUGAGAGGAUGAUCAGCCACAUUGGGACUGAGACACGGCCCAAACUCCUACGGGAGGCAGCAGUGGGGAAUCUUGCGCAAUGGGCGAAAGCCUGACGCAGCCAUGCCGCGUGAAUGAUGAAGGUCUUAGGACUGUAAAAUUCUUUCACUGGGGACGAUAAUGACGGUACCCGGAGAAGAAGCCCCGGCUAACUUCGUGCCAGCCGCCGCAGUAAAAC